AGAGGCAGAGUGGAUCCCUGGAGGAACCAUGCAGCUGAUCCUCCCCAUCGUCGGCCUUACCCUCUUCUGGGCAGGAGUCGCCGCACAGAUCGUGCUGGAGCAACCAGAGCCCACCAUGUCGCUCUCCACUGGGGAAAAUUUCACCUUCCAGUGCAGCAUGAAAAGAGGCAGCAUGAGUAGCUACUUCAUGUCCUGGUACAAGAAGAAUCCAGAUGCCUCCCUCACAUUCAUAUGUGAUGAAGAUAAUGACUGUGGUUCUGAAUUUCAGGGACAUUUCACUGUGCAAGCUGACAGUUCAAACAACUACUUUGCACUUGAAUUACCCCAAGCGGCGAUGAGCGAUGAGGGGAUUUAUUACUGUGCUGCUUGAGACACAGUGUUUCAACCCUGCUUCUCGGUAGCUCGGAAACUACCAUGGCUGCUGGAGCCAGCAAGCAAUUCCUGCCCGAGUAACUUUAGCUACAGGAAACUGGAAGAGAAUAAAUGGCUAAAGAUUCCCUUAAUCUAACAAUACUAAUGCUAAUAAUAAUCCAGAUAUGUCUUAAGGACUUUUUACCUGCCAAGCACUGUAGUAAACACUGGAAUAAUGUUGUCAGAUGCCUUCGAGUCAUUUCUGACCAUGGAGACUCCAUGAACACAUCUUCAUCAGUAUUCAUUCU